UACGUAUGGUGCAAGCGUUAUCCGGAUUUACUGGGUGUAAAGGGAGCGCAGACGGAGUGGCAAGUCUGAUGUGAAAACCCGGGGCUCAACCCCGGGACUGCAUUGGAAACUGUCAAUCUGGAGUACCGGAGAGGUAAGCGGAAUUCCUAGUGUAGCGGUGAAAUGCGUAGAUAUUAGGAGGAACACCAGUGGCGAAGGCGGCUUACUGGACGGUAACUGACGUUGAGGCUCGAAAGCGUGGGGAGCAAACAGG
rnacentral:rRNA from 1 species